GAUGAACGCUAGCGGCAGGCCUAAUACAUGCAAGUCAAGGGGAUAGCAAUAUCACCGGCGGACGGGUGCGUAACGCGUACACAACGUGCCCAAGGGCGGAGGAAAGCGGCGGGAAACUGCCGGUAAUACUCCAUGGUGUUGUUGAGUGGCAUCACUUAACAACUAAAGUACAAGCGCCCUUGGAUCGGUGUGCGUUCGAUUAGCUAGUUGGCGGGGUAACGGCCCACCAAGGCUUCGAUCGAUAGGGGGUGUGAGAGCAUGACCCCCCCANACGGGUACUGAGACACGGACCCGACUCCUACGGGAGGCAGCAGUAAGGAAUAUUGGUCAAUGGACGAAAGUCUGAACCAGCCAUCCCGCGUGCAGGGUGAAGGUCCUAUGGAUUGUAAACUGCUUUUAGCAGAGAAGAAAGCAUCCUUUUAAGGGUGUCUGACGGUGUCUGCGGAAUAAGCACCGGCUAACUCCGUGCCAGCAGCCGCGGUAAAGUAG
rnacentral:rRNA from 1 species